CUCAGAAUCAACGCUGGCGGCGUGCCUCAGACAUGCAAGUCGAACGAUUAAAGCUCUCUUCGGAGAGUGUAUAGAGUGGCGCACGGGUGAGUAACACGUAAGUAAUCUACCCUCGAGUGGGGAAUAACAACCGGAAACGGUUGCUAAUACCGCAUAAUGCAGCGGCACCGCAAGGUGACAGUUGUUAAAGAUUUAUCGCUUGAGGAGGAGCUUGCGGCAGAUUAGCUAGUUGGUAGGGUAACGGCUUACCAAGGCUACGAUCUGUAACCGGUCUAAGAGGACGGUCGGUCACACUGACACUGAAUAACGGGUCAGACUCCUACGGGAGGCAGCAGUCGGGAAUUUUGGGCAAUGGGCGAAAGCCUGACCCAGCAACGCCGCGUGAAGGAUGAAGUAUUUCGGUAUGUAAGCUUCGAAAGAAUAGGAAGAAUUAAUGACGGUACUAUUUAUAAGGUCCGGCUAACUACGUG
rnacentral:rRNA from 1 species